AAGCGGCAGAGGCACGGAGGACGUGGCUGGGCGCCCCGGGCACGAGCAGGACCCGAGGCCAGGGGCCAGGGGCCCAGAAGGUUCAUACCUGUUGGUGGAGAUGUUAGAGAGGAGUGGAGAUAAAAACUUGAUGAAGUCCGACACAGCUGGCUGGGAGUGAACCUGGAUGCUCCUAAGGACCCCCCAGGAAAGUAAGCACCUGGCAUGUGUAUCAGAAGACCCCCUAUGGCCUCACACACAGGCACCGGCUUCUUCUUGACAACUUCCCUGGGUGACUCUUAGAACUCAAUGGCCACGUCCAGCUCAGAGAUCAGAAGCAGCGCGCGUCCCAGAGCGCUACCAUAAUGAUGCCGUCCAGGUCCACAGUACAACCGGCUGCCUUGGUCAUUGCCGUAAUGACAGUACAUUCCAACUUCUCAAGGUGGUCAGGAAGUGGAACCAAGCAGGAAGUUCUGCAUGCCUAUGGCUUCCCUGUGGAGGGACCUCAAGAAGCCACAACAUCCAGCUCUACGCCAAGACUGACUGACGGCCUUUGGGGUGAGGUAGUAGGUUGUAUGGUUUUGGGCUCUGCCCCGCUCUGCGGUAACUAUACAAUCUACUGUCUUUCCUGAAGUGGCCGCAAUAUCUGCAGUGGAUACAACGGCGGCCCUGGCUGGGGAGACUGAGGGAGGGACAGGGGGGUGAUAACUACCAUGCAAAAAGAGCCUGACAGAGACCUUGGAUAGUCCCUUGACCUCUCUGGGCUGUUACUCAUCUGUAUAAGGGUUGGGGCAUAGCGAUGAAAACAGACAGCAUUUUCAGGGCACCUUCUCUCCCUGGCCCACACUGAAGGGGCCUUCCUGCCCCUGGCCCCAUAUCAGACCUGUGCUCACAGGUCUCCAUGAAAAGAGGGUCUGGACUAGACCUUCAACUAUGUUCCAGAGUUGCCCAGGCUUUCCAGCGCAGGGUCAGGCCUCUGACGAGCAAGCGUCUCUUCCGAGAAGAAAUUGAAAAGGAGCCAUUCUUAGCACACCCAUGAGUACAGCCUGCAGAUGGACCGUGUAGGCCACUGUCCCCUGUCCCUGGGGCAAUGGGUUCAGACACCAGAGGCUUCCUCAAUCUGUUUGGUAGGCACAGGCCUUUCUCACUGAACCUCUGUCUCCACUUCCCCCUCCCCCACCCCGCCCUGUGCCCUAUGGCUCUAGUGGCCUGUGGCCAGGGUGGGUGGGGAGCGGCUGGGCCUCCUCCAGAACACGGACACCGCAGGGUGAGGUAGUAGGUUGUGUGGUUUCAGGGCAGUGAUGUUGCCCCUCCGAAGAUAACUAUACAACCUACUGCCUUCCCUGAGGCGCCCAGGGACACAGCUACAUGGAGGCCCCCGCUCAGCAAGCUAAAUGGAGCCACAGAUUGGGUGGGGGCUAUGACGUGGGACCUGGGUAUAAAUAAAGGAUGUUCUGUCAUGAACUUA
rnacentral:lncRNA from 1 species